UACGUAGGGUGCAAGCGUUGUCCGGAAUUAUUGGGCGUAAAGAGCUCGUAGGCGGUCUGUCGCGUCUGCUGUGAAAACCUAGGGCUUAACUCUGGGCGUGCAGUGGGUACGGGCAGGCUAGAGUGCGGUAGGGGAGACUGGAAUUCCUGGUGUAGCGGUGAAAUGCGCAGAUAUCGGGAGGAACACCGGUGGCGAAGGCGGUUCUCUGGGCCUUACCUGACACUGAGGAGCGAAAGCGUGGGGAGCGAACAGG
rnacentral:rRNA from 1 species